CUCUCCUCCUCUCAUCCUCCUCUACUCCUCUCCUCCUCGUCUCCUCCUCUCACCUUCUCUUCUGUAUUACUGUAACUUGUCAGUAACUAAGACAACCAACCAGAGUAUGAACUUGAGUGAGGACGUGAGCAAGGAAAGGAGGGGAUAGUGAGAACAUGGACUCCAUCAGAAUGCGACUGACCCAGCCCUCCCCCUCCUCCUCCUCCCCCUCCUCCUCCUCCUCCUCAGUCUGUCAUGUGCAGUCAGGAGGCGGGGCUGAAGCCGAUGAAGGGGGCGGGACCCUGACAGUGGAGGUGAAGCUUGUCCAAUCAGAGAGUCAGGAGGUGGGGCGUAACAGUGGCAUCACAGCUCUGGUGCUACGGCAACCACAGCGUUACUGGAAGGUUCUGUACCUCUGUCUGGCUGGACUGCUGCUUCUCCUCUCAGCCUUCCUAUUGGCCUACGCAUUGUUCGGCAGCUCGUGCCCCUGUAGUACACGGGGGGAGAUGGUUGCCGUGGCGAAGGCAAACCCCAGCUCUCCAGGUGAGAUGCACAUGGGAGACCUGAGAGACAUGCUGAAGAGAUACCUGCAGGAUGACGACAUAGAGAACACUGUGAGGAGGGUGAGCAGGGCCAGUCACCCCUCAGGGUCUCCAGAAGGAACUCUCCUGGCUGCUGACAUCCUGCACAGGUUCCGGCAGCUCCGCAUGGAUCACACCUGGACUGACUCCCACUAUGCCACGCUGCAGUUCCCCUCCAGGACCCAGAAGAACAGUGUAUGGGUGGUGGACUCGGAGGGGGAGGUGUUGGAGGAGAUUCCUCUGGAGAACCCUGCAGCCUACUGUGCAUACAGUGCUAAAGGCACUGCUACGGGAGGAGUGGUUUAUGCAAACUAUGGACGGCAGGAGGACUUUGAUUGGCUGCGUUCGGCAGAGGUGUCUGUGGUUGGCUCUGUGGUGGUGAUGCGUGUGGGGGGCGGGGUCAGCUAUGCGGAGAAGGUGUGGCACGCCCAGCGAGCGGGAGGAGGCGGCGCUCUCAUCUACCCCGACCCCGCAGACAUCCCCCAAGACCCGCGCAGGCUCGGCCUCAACAGCCACACGGCCAUCUCUGAACACGUGCACCUGGGAUCAGGUGAUCCGUUCACCCCAGGCUUCCCCUCCUUUAACCACACCCAGUUCCCGCCCACCCAGUCCUCAGGCCUGCCACUCAUCCCUGCACAGCCAAUCAGUGCCAACGUGGCCUCCAAACUGCUCAGCCAGCUGUCAGGCCCAGCAUGUCCCCGAGGGUGGCAGGGCCGGCUGGCCUACGUCAGCUGUGUCCUGGGCCCCUCCUUCACCUCCCACCCCGGCAGGAGGCUGCGCAUGGAGGUGCACAACCACAUGGCACCUGUCCUCAUCAACAACAUCUUUGCCUCCCUAGAGGGCAGGUUGGAGCCAGACCAGUACAUCAUCAUGGGAGCCCAGAGGGAUGCGUGGGGGCCGGGGGCGGUGAAGGCCGGGGUGGGGACCGCAGUGCUUCUGGAGCUCGCUCGCACCUUCACCUCCAUGGUGCAGAACGGGUUUUUCCCUAGAAGGAGUCUUCUGUUUGUCAGUUGGGACGCUGGAGAGUUUGGACAUGUAGGAGCUACAGAGUGGUUAGAGGGUUACCUCUCUAUGCUGCAUCUGAAAGCCGUGGCAUACUUCAGCCUGGACCAGUGCAUUAUGGGUGAUGAUAUUCUGUCUGCCUACACCAGUCCUCUGCUAGUGGACCUGAUAGAAGGAGCCAUCAAACAGGUAGAGCAUCCCAAGCAUGUGGGCCAGAACAUCCACAGCCAGGCAGAGAAGGAGGGAGGCAGCUGGAGGAUUAUCAAGCCUCUCUACCUGAACAGUGGAGCGUACAGUUUCACAGCCUUCGCUGGAGUCCCAGCCAUGGAGCUACGCUUCACAGAGGAGCGGGCCUACCCGUUUGUCAACACCCCGCUGGACAGCCCCAGCCGCCUCCAGGAGGUGCUGGGGGGCCGUCUGGGGGCGGUGGGGCGGAGCCUUGGCCAACUGGUGGGGCUGAUGGUGCUGCGAUUGGCUCACGACCACAUCCUGCCUCUACGCAUCACUUCCUACUCUCACACUGCCUUGCAGUUCAGCGCCCAACUCAACAAACACUCCACCGAGCUGCAGGCGCGGGGCCUUUCUCCUCAGUGGGUGUUCAGUGCCAGAGGAGACUACAGCAGAGCAGCAGAGCGGCUGCAGACGACCAUCAUCAACAGUGACCUGCAGGAUGAGACCAUGACACGCAUACACAACACCCGCAUCAUGAGAGUGGAAUACUACUUCCUGUCCCAGUACGUGUCGACUGUGGAGACUCCGUUCCGGCAUGUUCUGCACGGCCGAGGCGAGCACACACUGAGCGCGCUCACCGAGCACCUGGCCUUGCUGACCUCCGACCCUGAGCGCUUCGACGAGGCACGUUUCCGACGGCAACUGGCGCUUUUCACUUGGACCCUGCAGGGGGCUGCCAACGCCCUGAGCGGAGACGUCUGGAACAUAGACCAUGCCUUCUGAUCCUCACACACACACACCACACACAUCACACACACCAUACACACACCAUACACACACACAUCACACACACAUCACACACACAUAAUGUUUUUACAUUAUGUGUGUGUGAGUCUGGAGCAGGUGCGCCAGACUCCUAGCAUACUACCUAGUGUACCACCUAGCAUGCAACCUAGUGUACCAACUAGUGUACCAACUAGCGUACUACCUAGCAUACAACCUAGUGUACCACCUAGCAUACAACCUAGUGUACCACCUAGCAGACUACCUAGUGUACCACCUAGUGUACCAACUAGCGUACCACCUACAUCCUAGUGUGCUAUCUAGUAUACUACCUACUUCCUUGUGUGCUAAAUUCCAAUUCUAACCACCUCCAGGUCAGGGGUCAGAGUGCAACAGCGAGGUGAGCAGGGUGUCAUGACAAUGAGUCCUGACUGGUGAUUGGUCUGAUCCUUUUGUAUGUGAAUGAUACUAACUACCAGGGAGGUUAGAGGGCAGGGUUAGGAGGUUAGAGGGCAGGGUUAGAGGUUAGAGGGCAGGGUUAGAGGUUAAUGUCCAAUCUCCUGCAUCUGGUCUGUAAUGUAACAGAUUAUCGGGGGGAGUGUGUCCCAUAAUUAUGACAGUCUGACUGUCAGCCACAGAGCGGUAUCUGCUGUCAAUCAUGCAGUUACUGGCCAGGGGUCGGAGUGUAGGGGCUUGAGUGAUCUGACCCUUGACCCCUGAUCCCCUGACCCUUGAUCCCUGGUCUGUGACCGUGGAGGUUUCUGCUGCUCCAGGGAGACCAGUGAUACAAUGUUCUACUGGGUUCUGCUAUGUGCUACAAUGUUCUACUGGGUUGUACCACUGGUCUCCAAUAAACAUAAUGUUU